rnacentral:lncRNA from 1 species
CAAGGUGCAUAAUACUAUACCUUGAGGCCUGCAUAACCUCAUAGGAUAUAGAGUUGAGUAAUUGUGGUAUAAUAUGACAAAGCCUACAGUGGUAUGCAUAGUGCUGUGAGAAGGAAGAAGACGUACAAGGGAAAAGACGAUUAUGCCAGGUAACAAUUUUCUGGACAGGAAGGAAAAAGGAGCAUAUCAGGUAGAGAGUUACCGUAUCUAUAUGGUACUUUUCUGUAUCGCAUGUAUAACAAUAUGGAAGAGCACCAUUUGUUAUGAAGAUGGUUGAAUGAUCGGUUGGAGCUGGAACAUUGGGGGUUG